CCUGGCUCAGGACGAACGCUGGCGGCGUGCCUAAUACAUGCAAGUAGAACGCUGAAGAGAGGAGCUUGCUCUUCUUGGAUGAGUUGCGAACGGGUGAGUAACGCGUAGGUAACCUGCCUUGUAGCGGGGGAUAACUAUUGGAAACGAUAGCUAAUACCGCAUAACAAUGGAUGACACAUGUCAUUUAUUUGAAAGGGGCAAUUGCUCCACUACAAGAUGGACCUGCGUUGUAUUAGCUAGUAGGUGAGGUAAUGGCUCACCUAGGCGACGAUACAUAGCCGACCUGAGAGGGUGAUCGGCCACACUGGGACUGAGACACGGCCCAGACUCCUACGGGAGGCAGCAGUAGGGAAUCUUCGGCAAUGGGGGCAACCCUGACCGAGCAACGCCGCGUGAGUGAAGAAGGUUUUCGGAUCGUAAAGCUCUGUUGUAAGUCAAGAACGGGUGUGAGAGUGGAAAGUUCACACUGUGACGGUAGCUUACCAGAAAGGGACGGCUAACUACGUGCCAGCAGCCGCGGUAAUACGUAGGUCCCGAGCGUUGUCCGGAUUUAUUGGGCGUAAAGCGAGCGCAGGCGGUUUGAUAAGUCUGAAGUUAAAGGCUGUGGCUCAACCAUAGUUCGCUUUGGAAACUGUCAAACUUGAGUGCAGAAGGGGAGAGUGGAAUUCCAUGUGUAGCGGUGAAAUGCGUAGAUAUAUGGAGGAACACCGGUGGCGAAAGCGGCUCUCUGGUCUGUAACUGACGCUGAGGCUCGAAAGCGUGGGGAGCGAACAGGAUUAGAUACCCUGGUAGUCCACGCCGUAAACGAUGAGUGCUAGGUGUUGGAUCCUUUCCGGGAUUCAGUGCCGCAGCUAACGCAUUAAGCACUCCGCCUGGGGAGUACGACCGCAAGGUUGAAACUCAAAGGAAUUGACGGGGGCCCGCACAAGCGGUGGAGCAUGUGGUUUAAUUCGAAGCAACGCGAAGAACCUUACCAGGUCUUGACAUCCCGAUGCUAUUUCUAGAGAUAGAAAGUUACUUCGGUACAUCGGUGACAGGUGGUGCAUGGUUGUCGUCAGCUCGUGUCGUGAGAU
rnacentral:rRNA from 1 species